UACGUAGGGUGCAAGCGUUGUCCGGAAUUAUUGGGCGUAAAGAGCUCGUAGGCGGUUUGUCGCGUCUGCUGUGAAACCCGAGGCUCAACCUCGGGCCUGCAGUGGGUACGGGCAGACUAGAGUGCGGUAGGGGAGAUUGGAAUUCCUGGUGUAGCGGUGGAAUGCGCAGAUAUCAGGAGGAACACCAAUGGCGAAGGCAGAUCUCUGGGCCGUAACUGACGCUGGAGGAAGCGGAAAGCAUGGGGAGCGAACAGG
rnacentral:rRNA from 1 species